GACGAACGCUGGCGGCGUGCUUAACACAUGCAAGUCGAACGGAAAGGCCCCUUUGGGGGUACUCGAGUGGCGAACGGGUGAGUAACACGUGAGUAACCUGCCCUUGACUUCGGGAUAACUUCAGGAAACUGGGGCUAAUACCGGAUAGGAAUCCUUGCUGCAUGGUGGGGGUUGGAAAGCUUCGGCGGUUUUGGAUGGACUCGCGGCUUAUCAGCUUGUUGGUGGGGUAGUGGCUUACCAAGGCUUUGACGGGUAGCCGGCCUGAGAGGGCGACCGGCCACAUUGGGACUGAGAUACGGCCCAGACUCCGACGGGAGGCAACAGUGGGGAAUAUUGCACAAUGGGCGGAAGCCUGAUGCAGCAACGCCGCGUGCGGGAUGACGGCCUUCGGGUUGUAAACCGCUUUCAGCAGGGGCGAAGCUUGUGGUGACGGUACCUGCAGAAGAAGCACCGGCUAACUACGUG
rnacentral:rRNA from 1 species